GGAGGGUUCGAUUCUGGCUCAGGAUGAACGCUGGCGGCGUGCUUAACACAUGCAAGUCGAACGGGAUCCAUCAAGCUUGCUUCGUGGGAGAGUGGCGAACGGGNGAGUAAUGCGUGACCAACCUGCCCCAUGCACCGGAAUAGCUCCUGGAAACGGGUGGUAAUGCCGNAUGCUCCAUCACACCGCAUGGUGUGUUGGGAAAGCCUUUGCGGCAUGGGAUGGGGUCGCGUCCUAUCAGCUUGAUGGCGGGGUAACGGCCUGCCAUGGCUUCGACGGGUAGCCGGCCUGAGAGGGCGACCGGCCACAUUGGGACUGAGAUACGGCCNNNACUCCUACGGGAGGCAGCUGUGGGGAAUAUUGCACAAUGGGCGCAAGCCUGAUGCAGCGACGCNGCGUGAGGGAUGGAGGCUUCGGGUUGUAAACCUCNUUUGUUCGGGAGCAAGGCACUUUGUGUUGAGUGUACCUUUCGAAUAAGCACCGGCUAACUACGUGCCAGCAGCCGCGGUAAUACGUAGGGUGNNAGCGUUAUCCGGAAUUAUUGGGCGUAAAGGGCUCGUAGGCGGUUCGUCGCGUCCGGUGUGAAAGUCCAUCGCUUAACGGUGGAUCCGCGCCGGGUACGGGCGGGCUUGAGUGCGGUAGGGCAGACUGGAAUUCCCNGUGUAACGGUGGAAUGUGUAGAUAUCGGGAAGAACACCAAUGGCGAAGGCAGGUCUCUGGGCNGUUACUGACGCUGAGGAGCNAAAGCGUGGGGAGCGAACAGGAUUAGAUACCCUGGUAGUCCACGCCGUAAACGGUGGAUGCUGGAUGUGGGGGCNGUUCCACGGGUUCCGUGUCGGACGUAACGCGUUAAGCAUCC
rnacentral:rRNA from 1 species